AACGUUGAAAAUCACUUACCUGGACGGGGUCUAUGAGUGAUCAAUAAGGCUCAUGGCCUAGAUCAAUGGCUCGCGUUGCACUUUGUGAGUGUGUUGAUCUACCAUCUUCCUUUUGAGAAAGAGUGA
rnacentral:rRNA from 1 species